GGAAUUCAAUCCGGGGCCAAUGAUAAGUAUUUCAGUUUGGCAUUUGCGCAGAGAGAGCCAAGAUUUUGGCAUCAGUAUAACCUCUGGGUUCUGGUUCAACCCAGACCUCUGACUUGUUGAUUCAGAGGAAUGUCUUUCAACAUGUACUGAUGUCUCUAAGAUGUGACAGGACUGGACACAACACAGCCCAAAGGAACACGCAGCGCCCCUCACCGACAUUCUAAGCCUCGAGGUCUUUUCCAGUGAAUCCGAUAUUUGCAUCAUGUGGCCAAAGUAUUGGAGCCUCAGCUUCAGCAUCAGUCCUUCCAAUGAAUAUUCACGGUUGGUCUCCUUUCGGAUUCACUGGUUUGAUCUCCUUGUUCUCCAAGGGACUCUCAAAACUGAUCUCCA
ensembl:lncRNA